UAUAUGUCAAAACGUUGAUUGCUAAGAUUCUCCAAGUCGUAAUAUUUGUUGGUUCUAUUUUGUUCCUAUUGAUUACCAUGAUUGUGGUUUCAGCUGGUUGGGGAAAGACCUGUGCUACAUACAAAAACAUAACAAGCUCAGGUGGUACUCCAAGCUCACUCUUUAACAUUGACUGCACUGGACCACAAUAUAUCUAUGGUUCUAGAGGUAUUUGCUGGUGUUGGUGCUCUGUUUGCUGCUGGAGCUCUUUGUGUCUAUAUUGCACAACAACAGUACAUCAGGUCUAAUGACGAGAGCUUUUUUUCCAGGGAGCUGAGCACUAACAUGGAGAGCAAUGACAAUGAUGAUUAAUUUCCUUUUAGCGAAUUAGUACUGAAGCUUUCUUUAUCCAUUAAUUAAAUAGAUUUGAAACAAAUGUAGUGCUAUUGUUAUUU
rnacentral:misc_RNA from 1 species